AUUGAACGCUGGCGGCAUGCUUUACACAUGCAAGUCGAACGGUAACAGGCCGCAAGGUGCUGACGAGUGGCGAACGGGUGAGUAAUGCAUCGGAACGUGCCCAGUCGUGGGGGAUAACUGCUCGAAAGAGCAGCUAAUACCGCAUACGGUCUAUGGAUGAAAGCGGGGGACCGUAAGGCCUCGCGCGAUUGGAGCGGCCGAUGUCAGAUUAGGUAGUUGGUGGGGUAAAGGCUCACCAAGCCAACGAUCUGUAGCUGGUCUGAGAGGGCGACCAGCCAAACUGGGACUGAGACACGGCACAGACUCCUACGGGAGGCAGCAGUGGGGAAUUUUGGACAAGGGGGGCAACCCUGAUCCAGCAAUGCCGCGUGCAGGAAGAAGGCCUUCGGGUUGUAAACUGCUUUUGUACGGAACGAAACGGUCUGGGUUAAUACCCUGGGCUAAUGACGGUACCGUAAGAAUAAGCACCGGCUAACUACGUGCCAGCCGCCGCGGUAAAAC
rnacentral:rRNA from 1 species